AAGCCAUGAUGUAGACACUGAUUGGUGUAGCUUCUAAAUCGCUCCAAAGCUUCUCCAAAGCUUUCAUUGUUGUGCUGAGUGAAACUUGAAAUCUGGUUUCUCAGCUU
rfam:Eutrema salsugineum unplaced genomic scaffold scaffold_6, whole genome shotgun sequence.